rnacentral:lncRNA from 1 species
GGGAUGGGGAUUGGGAUGGGGAAUGGGAUGGGGAUGGGGUGGGGAAUGGGAUUGGGAUGGAGAUUUGGGUAGGAUGGAUGGAUGGGAUGGGGAUGGGGAUGAGGAUUGGGAUCGGAUGGGAACAGGAUGGGAUGGGAUGAGAUGGGAUGGGAUGCAGCAGCACCGUGCGUGCAGCCCUUGUAGCACACAGAAUGGGAAGCAGCACCCCAUGCCUGCACCCCACACAGGACCCACAGCAGGGCUGCAGCACCCCAUGCAUGCACCCCACACAGGACCCACAGCAGGGCUGCAGCACCCCAUGCACGCACCCCACACAGCACUCACACUCCUCUCCAUGCAUUCAGGGUGGAGAUGCAGCACCCCACACAGCACUCAUGCUGCUCCCCAUGCAUGCACCCCACACAGGACGCAUGGAGGAGGCGCAGCACCCCAUGCCUGCACCCACACAGCACUGAUGCAGCUCCCCACACCUGCACCCCACAGAAAACCCACAGCAGGGCUGCAGCACCCCACGCCUGCACCCCACACAGGACCCACACAGGGCUGCAGCACCCCAUGCCUGCACCCACACAGCACUGACGCAGCCCCCCACGCCUGCACCCCACAGAAAACCCACAGCAGGGCUGCAGCACCCCAUGCACGCACCUCACCCCCCCCCUCCCCCCCGAUUGCUGUUCCCCCAGGACGCAGAGAAGGGCUGCUGCAGCACGGGCUGCUGCAAGGCGUGCUGCCUGCCCUGCUCGCUCUGCUGCCCCACGUGCUGCCGCCCGGGCUGCGGCUGCAUGCGGAGCUGCCUGUGCUUCGUGCCGCGCCUGCUCUGCUCGCUGCCCCGCAAACUGCUGGGCUGCCACCGCCUGCGCUGCGUCCUCCUCGGCGCGCUGCUGCUCGGCCUCCUGCUGCUGCUGCUGCUCGGGGCGCUGCUGAUGUGGCUGCGGGCGGAGCGGCUGCGGGACGGCGGCGUGCGUGGGGGGUGGGGGGGUGGGGGGGGAUGGGGCUGGGGGGGUAAUGGG